AGCUUUGCACAGUGGCAGUAUUUGUAGCCAAUGAGGUUUAUCCAAGGCUCGAUUAUUGCUAAUUGAAAACUUUUCCCAAUACCCCGCCAUGACGACUUGAAAUACAGUCAGUGUUGGCAAUUUUUGGCAGUGUCUACGGAGA
rnacentral:snRNA from 1 species